rnacentral:lncRNA from 1 species
UCGACCCUGGUCCACCCUGGCCUGUGCCCAGGCCACUACCACACCACUCGCCGCCGCGGCCGACCUCAACCACCACUGUUGUCGAUCUCAACCCACCCGCCUCCGCGGCCGUACCUCUGCCCGCUUGCUGCCCCCGUUUCAGCGCUCGAGCACAGCUUCUGGAUCAAAUUACGACUCCUUAUGGCCAGAUAGAGGCGCCUAACCCUUGCUCCCCUCAUGGUAUCCCCUCCUCCGGCAGGAACUCAUCAUCUGGUGAGAUCC